GUUGAAUUUUUCCCUCUAAUAUCAUAAAUGGAUAUUGUGUACAGAACCUGCACCAACUCUUUGUGUGACAUUUGAUAAAAUAAUCAAAAACAGACACAGAGAGACUUUUUAUUAGUAUUUCAUUUUUUCCAAGAUGACACAAAGUAAAGAUCAAAACAGUCACUGAAAGGAGAAUAUAAGACCUAAGGCAGCAGACUCAUCUGGCUCAGAUGCAGCUCUGCAGUGAAUAUCCUGCAGGCUGGAUUCCAAACAUCACAACACACCUGACUCUGUAAGGUGGACUGGUGGGGGAGCUGAGUAUGAAGAUUCAUCCUGAGUCAGCGCUGUCAGACAACACCAAAUAUGGCCCAAAGACAACCUGCAGCAGGUGCACAGCGACCACAAAGUUCUGUACAGAAGGACUACCUGGCUAAAAGGAGGCCCAACAUGAAGCUAUUCAAAUCCAGAACCUUCUCACCGUGAUGCUGUAAUAACACCCUGCCACCCUGUCACCAUCAUAAAAAGACAAAGAAAUAAGAGAAAGAUGAUCCAAAAGGACCGUGAAGGAGUGUAAAAUGACACAAACAGAUACUAGAGGGCUAAAAAACAGAAAACAGAUUAAAAAAUAAAUAAAAACAAAUGCAAAAGACACAAAAUAAGUAAAACAUGAUGAAAAUUUACCAUGACGAGAAGUGAUAUGGGUACAAAAAAUGAAAAACAUAAAAAGACUGAAGGAGCACAAAAUAAUGUGAAAGGCCCACAGAGCGACACCAAAUGACUCCGAAGAGCUUCAUGGCUUCAGUUAGACACAAAAUGACACUAAAUGGGCAGAAAGGGAUGAAAACACAGUGAAAAGGUAGUAAAUGACUGAAGUAUUGCACAAGGAUCACUAAGAGAUGUGGACGGAGCUGAAACUAGAGGAAACAGGACUGUGGAGAGGCACAAACCGACAGAGGAAACCAUGAAGAUGAUUUAGAAAGGCUUCAAACACGUCCAAAAGAACCACAACAGGACUGAGAUCAGUUACAGGCUCUUUAAAACCAUCAUGGAUGAGGCUGUGGGGCCUUAAACAUGCCUGUGUUUAAUCUGAGGUCAGUCACAGAGCUCAGGUGAGCUCAGGUGAGUUCCUGCUGCAGGAACCACUUCCAAGUUUUUCUUUCUGCUCACAAACUCUCAAACCUUUUCCUUGCUUUUGAUUUCUGGAGCUUCUGGAACUUUCUGUUGCAGGGGCAUUCAGCUCCUGCUCUGAUUAGCCGAUUCAGCUGACGUAAACAAGUCAAGCUGUCACUGAUAUUUAGGACAAUACCGGAGGUUGUGCAGUUCAGCUUUCAAAAUAAGACGUCUUUUGUUUCACUUUGGUUCGUUUGUUGUUUUUAUAGUUUAGUUUCAGCGCAGACGUCAUCACAUGGACGCCGCGCUGAGAUGGCGGCAGAGCGUUAACCUCAGGGAACGAGGUCUUUUCUAAACAAGAGCAGCAAACUGUAGAGCUGUCAGAGUUCACUGCUGAUUUCCAUACAUCUUCAUGAUCACUGAAAUAAAAUCUGAUUAGGUAAUACUUCAAAAUAAAGGCCCAAAUAACUGCCCCCAGGCAUUUUAAAGCUGUCUUUACUGACCCAUCCUUGGGAUAGCUGUAGUAAUCUGACUACUCUCACACAGAUGGCACAAUAUUUACUUUAUAUGUAAGGUUCGUUUUUAUUUCAUUAAUUUUGGAAACUAAAGGACUUUUUGAGCUUCUGGUUUGGUUUCAGUUCGCUCUAAAAACCUCUUUUGCGGCAGCACUUUAUUUUGAAAUGCUUCACCGGAUGUUCCAGCUGCUCCUGACUCCACCUUUACUGCAGAGUUUUCAAAGAAACGUCUGGAAGCUGGUGGGAGGAGGGCGCUCAGCUUAUAAAGUGGGGAGGAGGCGCAGUGCUCCGGGCUGCACGAGGAGGAAGAUGGGGGAUGGAGGAGCUCCUUAUUAUCGCGGGGUCGGCGCAGAACUAAAUGUUGAACCGCGAAGCAAAGAGACCAAAAAAAAGCCAAGUUAGAUGUGAUGGCGCGGACUGGACUCACUGUGGAGGUCUCUGAGGUUACAGACAGGAAGUGAGUGUACAGAUGUUUCAGAGCAGGACGGAAAAUCAGCCCAAAUUUCUUUAUUAUGGCUUUAAUUCACCAAAAUCACAGAGAACACCUGCUGUGGCUGUAAACAGCUGGAUGAACAGCAGGCUGAGCUUCUAGAACAAUCAGGAAACCGAGGAGGAGCCCCUCCCCUCCCUGUUACAGCGCUGCCUCAUGAUCUGGAAGUUUCCUCGUGAUUUUUAAACACAGGAAUCCAAUCGGAGCUCAUGGAAUAAUCUUGAAAUCAGGAUUUAUGUCAACAAGGAAAAUACUUUACAAAAGAAGGAAACUUUAAUCAGAGAAAUUACAUUUAUAUUAAGCUGGACUAACCAGCAUAGAAACAAACAAAUGCUCAAAUGUGAUUAGAUAACAUCUGCAGUUGCCUUCCAGAACAUUCUGCCGUAAUAUUUACAGUAAAUAUCAGCUUUGAAUGUUUUUAUUUUAUGAAUAAAACGGUCGGGCUGCCACAAAUGAAAGAUUUAGCUGCAGGAGAAAGCUUAAAAUCAGCAUUUUACGUUUGUGUUUAGAUAAAACUAUCUGUAGCUGCCUUCCAGAACGUUCUGCACAAUAUUCACAUCGUCAUAGAGAAAACUCAAAUAACUGGGCCUGAACUCUGAAACCAUCUGUUAGAUUUAAUGAGUAAAAAUGAAAAAUCAAACCUUUUUUUUUUUUGGCUGUAAACAGCUGGAUAAGCUGGAAAAAGCAAGCUGAGCUUCCAGAACAAUCCCUGAGUAAAGGGAGGAGGAGCCCCUCCCCUCCCUGUUGCUGCCUCAUGAUCUGGAAGUUUCCUCACUGAGGACCAAAAUCUUGUGAUUUUAAAAACAGGAAUAAAAUCUGUGCUUGUGGAAUAAUCCUGAAAUCAGGAUUUAUGAGAACAAGAAAAUAUUGUUAGAAUUACAAAAAGGUGGAGCUCUCUGGAGACUCAGGGGACUUCUCCACCCCUCAGAACAAAAUCAUUUAGAAGGAUAUGAUUUUUUUUUGUUUUUAAAUUCAGAAAUAUUUAAACUGGAUUAAGUGACAUGGAAACACUUAAUCUCCUGCUACUCAGAGAUGUUGUUUAAUUAUAAUAUCUGUACCUUCCAGAAUAGUCUGAGUAAUAUUUAUAUUUCCUCACAUUUAUAGUGACGAUCAAAGAGAAGCCUGUUGUUAAAGGUAAAAAUAUUCAGACAGGCUCUGCAGCUUUAAAGCAGCUCAAUGUUUUUCUAGAACAAUCCUCACGCUCACUGUUAUUACUCUGCUGGAAGCAAGUCUGAUUUAUUUUUAAUUUCUUUAAGCUGAACAACCAACCUGAGAAACCAAGUCAGGAUUUAAGAACAAAGUGACGUUACUGGAUUUUAAAAAAAGGUUCACAUGGAAAAAACCUCCAGAACCACAGAGAGGAAAAUACUUAUUAAAAACCCAAAUUUUAGUCACAGCAUUCCGUCUGAACCUGGACUGACUGGAUAGACGUGAACACCUGCCAUCUUCCAAAAAUAUUCUGCACAUUAUUUAUAUUUGAUUAUUCUUCUGCAGUAAGUUUAAACCAGGAGUCACCAAAUCU